UGGCUUCGGCUACCACUUACANAUGGACCCGCGGCGCAUUANCUAGUUGGUGAGGUAACGGCUCACCAAGGCGACGAUGCGUAGCCGACCUGAGAGGGUGAUCGGCCACACUGGGACUGAGACACGGCCCAGACUCCUACGGGAGGCAGCAGUAGGGAAUCUUCCGCAAUGGACGAAAGUCUGACGGAGCAACGCCGCGUGAGUGAUGAAGGUUUUCGGAUCGUAAAGCUCUGUUGUUAGGGAAGAACAAGUGCCGUUCAAAUAGGGCGGCACCUUGACGGUACCUAACCAGAAAGCCACGGCUAACUACGUGCCAGCAGCCGCGGUAAUACGUAGGUGGCAAGCGUUGUCCGGAAUUAUUGGGCGUAAAGGGCUCGCAGGCGGUUUCUUAAGUCUGAUGUGAAAGCCCCCGGCUCAACCGGGGAGGGUCAUUGGAAACUGGGGAACUUGAGUGCAGAAGAGGAGAGUGGAAUUCCACGUGUAGCGGUGAAAUGCGUAGAGAUGUGGAGGAACACCAGUG
rnacentral:rRNA from 1 species